rnacentral:rRNA from 1 species
AGAACACCCGUUGAUAGGCUCUACGUGGAAGCGCAGUAAUGCGUGAAGCGGAGGAGUACUAAUAGACCGAGGGCUUGACCAUAAAAAUCUCAGCAGAUACU